rnacentral:rRNA from 1 species
UACGAAGGGGGCGAGCGUUGCCCGGAAUCACUGGGCGUAAAGCGCACGUAGGCGGCUUUUUAAGUCAGGGGUGAAAUCCUGGAGCUCAACUCCAGAACUGCCUUUGAUACUGAGAAGCUUGAGUCCGGGAGAGGUGAGUGGAACUGCGAGUGUAGAGGUGAAAUUCGUAGAUAUUCGCAAGAACACCAGUGGCGAAGGCGGCUCACUGGCCCGGUACUGACGCUGAGGUGCGAAAGCGUGGGGAGCAAACAGG